rnacentral:rRNA from 1 species
UACGGGGGGAGCAAGCGUUGUUCGGAUUUACUGGGCGUAAAGGGCGCGUAGGCGGCCUCUGCAAGUCGACUGUGAAAUCUCCGGGCUUAACCCGGAAAGGUCAGCCGAUACUGCAGGGCUAGAGUGCAGAAGGGGCAACUGGAAUUCUCGGUGUAGCGGUGAAAUGCGCAGAUAUCAGGAGGAACACCGGUGGCGAAGGCGGGUCUCUGGGCCGAAAUUGACGCUGAGGAGCGAAAGCGUGGGGAGCAAACAGG